AUGCUCGUUUUGGCAGCACUUGGACUAAAAGUGGAAUGAUACAGAGAAGCAGCAGCAUGGCUCCUGCGCAUGGGUAACAGACAAAUUCAUGAAGCAUUCCACAUUUAA